GGAGUUGUGGCCGAGAGGUCGAAGGCGCUUGACUCGAAAUCAAGUAAUCAGGUAACUGGUUCGGGGAUUCGAAUUCCCCCGGCUCCG
rnacentral:tRNA from 1 species